AAGCUCGUAGUUGAAUUUCGGGAUUAGUACGUCGGUCGCGCCUUAGGUACGUACUGGUGUUACUGGUUCCUACCUUCUGACGAACCAUCAUGUCAUUAAUUUGGUGUGGUGGGGAAUCAGGACUGUUACUUUGAAAAAAUUAGAGUGUUUAAAGCAGGCUCGCGCUUGAAUACAUUAGCAUGGAAUAAUGAAAUAGGACGUUGAUCCUAUUUUGUUGGUUUCUAGGAUUGACGUAAUGAUUAAUAGAGAUAGUUGGG
rnacentral:rRNA from 1 species